GUCAUCGCGGGUGUCUAACCCAUCAACCGGACAGGGGUCAGGCUGACCACUUCUUUGCAGGGCUAUAUUGUAGCAGUGCCUUGCCAGGGCUUAAUCUCCCUUGACUUCUCCGACCCCCUGGUUAGUAGGAAAUUUUCAAUUUUAGAUGGUAGGUUGACACCACAACCCGGAGGGCGUUGAGGCCAGGUCGGCCGAGGAUUGCAUUGUAGGCUGACGGUGCCUUCACCACCAGAAAAUCCACCAG
rnacentral:lncRNA from 1 species